AUGCCUCUCUCAGCCUCUGUCCCAAGAAGGUCUCUACUUCCCUUGGAGGAUGGCAGUCCCUCAAGGGAGUGAGGAAGGCCCAAUCUGGCCCUGUGGCUUGUUGGACAUCCCAUCAUCAUUCCAUUGCCUCUGAACCCGGUUGUCAUUUACUCAUUCAACGAACAUUUGUGAAGCACCUAGUCUGCUUGUACUUCCUAAUCACUGGAUAUGGGCAGCGGAAUCCAGCCCCCACCUCCAGCUCCCUCCAGAAGAAAGACUCCAUCUACCAUGCAACGAGACGUGGCCAGGGGAGUGAGUUUUGGCCAAAGAGAUGAAAGUGAGGGCAUCCCAUGCUAGCUUCCUGAAGCCUCCCUUAGGACACAGUGAUUAUGCAGCCUUUCCUCUUGUCAUUCUUCCUUCCUACUGGAUGAAAUACAGACAGACUGGCUAGAGAACCAGGAACAUUUUGGAUUAUGAGAUAACCUUGGGAAUGGCAGUCCCACAAAACAAAGCAACAAAAAUGAAAUAAAACGAGCUUGCACCCCUGUCACCAAGGUG